rnacentral:rRNA from 1 species
AUGCAAGUCGAACGGUGAAGCGGGUGCUUGCACUCGUGGAUCAGUGGCGAACGGGUGAGUAACACGUGAGUAACCUGCCCUCCACUCUGGGAUAAGCGCUGGAAACGGCGUCUAAUACUGGAUACGACCGACCCUCGCAUGGGGUGUUGGUGGAAAGAUUUAUCGGUGGUGGAUGGACUCGCGGCCUAUCAGCUUGUUGGUGGGGUAAUGGCCUACCAAGGCGACGACGGGUAGCCGGCCUGAGAGGGCGACCGGCCACACUGGGACUGAGACACGGCCCAGACUCCUACGGGAGGCAGCAGUGGGGAAUAUUGCACAAUGGGCGAAAGCCUGAUGCAGCGACGCCGCGUGAGGGAUGACGGCCUUCGGGUUGUAAACCUCUUUCAGCAGGGAAGAAGCUUUUGUGACGGUACCUGCAGAAGAAGCACCGGCUAACUACGUGCCAGCAGCCGCGGUAAUACGUAGGGUGCGAGCGUUGUCCGGAAUUAUUGGGCGUAAAGAGCUUGUAGGCGGUUUGUCGCGUCUGCUGUGAAAAUUCAGGGCUUAACCCUGGACGUGCAGUGGGUACGGGCAGACUAGAGUAUGGUAGGGGAGACUGGAAUUCCUGGUGUAGCGGUGGAAUGCGCAGAUAUCAGGAGGAACACCGAUGGCGAAGGCAGGUCUCUGGGCCAUUACUGACGCUGAGAAGCGAAAGCAUGGGGAGCGAACAGGAUUAGAUACCCUGGUAGUCCAUGCCGUAAACGUUGGGCGCUAGGCGUGGGUCUCAUUCCACGAGAUCCGUGUCGCAGCUAACGCAUUAAGCGCCCCGCCUGGGGAGUACGGCCGCAAGGCUGCAAGGCUAAAACUCAAAGGAAUUGACGGGGGCCCGCACAAGCGGCGGAGCAUGCUGAUUAAUUCGAUGCAACGCGAAGAACCUUACCAAGGCUUGACAUGCACCGGAUCGCCUCAGAGAUGGGGUUUCCCUUUGGGCUGGUGCACAGGUGGUGCAUGGUUGUCGUCAGCUCGUGUCGUGAGAUGUUGGGUUAAGUCCCGCAACGAGCGCAACCCUCGUUCUAUGUUGCCAGCACGUAAUGGUGGGGACUCAUAGGAGACUGCCGGGGUCAACUCGGAGGAAGGUGGGGAUGACGUCAAAUCAUCAUGCCCCUUAUGUCUUGGGCUUCAAGCAUGCUACAAUGGCCGGUACAGAGGGUUGCGAAACCGUGAGGUGGAGCGAAUCCCAAAAAACCGGUCUCAGUUCGGAUUGGGGUCUGCAACUCGACCCCAUGAAGUCGGAGUCGCUAGUAAUCGCAGAUCAGCAACGCUGCGGUGAAUACGUUCCCGGGCCUUGUACACACCGCCCGUCAAGUCACGAAAGUCGGUAACACCCGAAGACGGUGGCCUAACCCUUGUGGAAGGAGCCGUCUAAGGUGGGACCGGUGAUUGG